CCCGUUGGUUGCAUUUGUUGCAAUAGUUAUCAUGUCUCAUGUUCAUUUUGUUCUUGCUUUCGGAACAUUGUGUUGUGCUGCAAGAUGCGACUUUCUGUUAAACUGGCUGUGUGUACUUUGUGUUGAGGGUAUGUGUUCGAACUCAGGUUGGGAGCGUCCUGUUUGUAACAUUUGCUGUAAAGUAGUUCCAUUAUCUUAUGAUAGUGGAACUAGAGUCGUAUGGAUAGAAUAAUGAAUUUACUGUAUGAAAGAUAGCAAACUAUUUUAAUUAAUCUCUUCUACCACAUCAUUUUACUCAAAAAUUCACAUAAAUUAUAUAAAUACUAAUUGUGUUGUUUAAAGAUAUCUUGUAGUUAAAAAGCACAUCCAUAGUUAAAGCUAAGUAUAGAAUGCUUUAAGGGGGAGACCAUUGCUUCUGUCUACCUUCUUUUUAUUAUACCCAUAAAUAUGUCAUAACAUGUUGCUGGCUUACCUGAACCAAGUCCUUUAUGCUGUACUAGGACUAGGAGUCUAGCUGUAAUUAGUAAUACACUUCAUAUGGCUAAGUUGAAAACUAGUCAUAAAGAAGAAUCAGAUGAUGUGCUGUACAUUAGGUUAUGUCAGGGUAAUAAGUUUGGUGAUCUUCAAAGAUUCAGUCAUAAGUUCCUUCAGAUUACACAAGGAGGUCAGGAUGUCAGAAUACCCACAGGAUACGAAGGCAGAGAGAUCCGUGCCGGAUAUGCUACAGUACUAGUGUGUGCCGGAUAUGCUACGGGACACAGUUUGCCAGUUGGCCGCUUCUGAAGGUUCAAAUAGAAGAUCUUAAUUCUGAUGCUUGAUGAUACUCAGGAAUCUGCUUAUUCCUGAACACCCGGAAAAAUGUGAUUCUAUUUUAAAAGGGUAGUGUUUUUAUUUAGGAUCAUGUCACACACUAGCCAGUGUUAAGGUGAUUUUGUUGAGCCUAUAGUUGCAAAAACUGAGUGUGUCUUCCUUAUUCUUUUUUUGUCGCUGAAAUGCCCUUUUAGCUAAUAUUGCUGGAUCUCGCAGAAAUCUUGAUGCUGCAGUAGCUCAGUCGUGCAUUAGUUUUUUUUCUUGGGAAAAGGAGGAUGCCUUUUUUCCACAGAGUCCUGUUAUGCAUAUGAUUCUUUAUGUACGAUUCUUGUAGAAACACAGCACAUCAACCAGUUCUUGGGGUGGAACAGAAAAUACAGCACAACACUGGUUCUUCCAUCGUAAAUGGAUUGUAUCACAAAAUGUCGUAUGUGCAGCAGUUACAAUUUUCCUGUGCACCACAAAAUUUUCCUGUGUAUCACAAAAUUUCCAGUAGUUUGCGGGGGGAACCCUUUUUCGUCAAAAUUCCAGUAGUUUGCAAGGUGUUCAAAACAAAGCAUUAAACACAUGGUACCCCUUAUCUUUGCCAUUUUUUGUGUUCUAUAGCUCAGGCUACAUGGUACCCCUUAUCUUUGCCAUCCAUUUCUGCAUCGCGAUCCGUGUAGAUGCAUUUGUCUUUUUUAUUUCUCUCAAAUGACACAACAUAUAAACUUCAAAUUUUGCAGAACAACAAUACAUUCUAACUACAAUCUGGAAAAAAACUUUCAGAUUUUUUCAUGCAUUUUAAAUACUUAAAAUAAUAUUUUUAGUCAAACAAAAUCUCAUUUGGUAUAUUUAUAUCAGACCAAAAAAUCUGAAAGUUUUUUCACACGUUGAUGUUUUAAUGUUUGUUCGAUCUGCAAAGUUUGAAGUUCAUAUGUUGUUUCAUUUUAGAGAAACAAAAAAGAGAAAUCUACUUGUCGUAAGUUAGUUGGAGAGUACGGAUCUCAAAGCAAGGCUGGAGGGUUGAGGAUAAGAGGUUUCAUGUAGCCUGAGCUACAAAGGAACUUUGUGUUUAAACACAUACCACUCUCUGUUCACUAGAAUGCAUGUGUACCUGUACGGCAGGUCAAACCCAGUAUUUGAGCUGAUUGUCGACAAUCAGCUCAAAUACUGGGUUUGACCUGCCGUACAGGUACACAUGCGCUGUGGUCAAUGCUCAAUGCGAAGCUGUUCUGAUAAGUUAGGGGGCCGGACGGAUUAUAUGUCUGACUGAUUUGUUGCAACCUAUGAUUGUUGUGAAUGUUCACAUACUUUCUAUGGAUAUAUAUGGUUACCAGGCCCAGCGGCGCUUCGACUUCUUGCUCGUUUGGACAAUGAUCAGGCUGCUGCUGUACAACAAGCGUAAUGACUACUGCAUCAUGCUACAAGUCAAGCUACAUCAGUUCGAGUCUCCACAAUUACAUUAAAUUCAACGCUGAGAGGCGGAUCUUUCCCCCUCGGCCGCAUUUGUUGUAACAGUUGUAAUGUCUCAUGCAUGCUUUAUUUGUUGUUGGCUUCUGAAGCCUUGUGCUGUGCCGCAAGGUGUGAAUUUCUUUUAAACUGGCUCUGUGUGUACUUGUCUUGUGGGUAUGUGUUUGAAGUAAGGUUGGGAGCGUCCCGUUUGGAACAUUUAUUGUAUAGUCAAACUUGAGCGAAUGUUGUAUCGGUAAAGAAUGAUUUUACUGUAUGAAAGAUACAGCAAACUAUUUUGAUUUAGUUAAUUUGUUCUAUCAUAUCAUUUUACUGCAAAGGUUCGCAUACAUUCCAUAAAUAUCCAUUGUGUUGUUUAAGAUAACAGUGUAGCGAAAGAUCACCUUCAUGGUUAAUAUAACACCUUGAUAUUCAUAACAUGUCCAACUUGUUCGCCAUCCAUCUGCCCCCCUAACUUGCAGAACAGCUCCAUGAGCAUUGACCAUAGCACAUGAUUUUUCUUUGUUCCUUUGGAGUAAGCUGCUCUAGACAAUCAGUUCAAAUACUGUGUUUGAACUGUCGUAGAGGUACACAUGCAUUCUACCAUGUCUACAGUGUUCUGCUGCUGUGAACAGAGAGACGUGAAUAUAUUGCUAUAUUUUGAACACCUUGCAAAUCAUUGGAGACUUUCCCAUUUUAGGAAGGAAAUGAAUCUGCCCUUUUUUAUAUAACUAAAAUAGUUAUUGUUUUCAAGUAUUGGAGUUUCUCCCACCCUGAAGUGAUAACUGCGCAGUGCAUUGAAAGCACCUCAGAUACAUAGCCGUGCAGUGGUUUAGCACAGGCUGGCUAGUGGACCCUGCCCACUCAGGCGCAUCGACCUGGGUAUGGUAUACCUAUAUAAGCUUACCAUAUAACAAUAACAAUUAUAUUUCAGUUUUAUCAGAUGCCACCUAAAGGGUUGACGCAACGAUGCUGCUAACCUAGAUGACAAAGUUAAUACACAAAAUGACAAUGGACUCGCCAUAGGAAAAAAAAGGCAUUCCACAAACAACCAAAUAUACACAGAUAUUUCCCUAAAAUGCAUGGAUAACCAAAUGCCGACCUAAACUAUUCAUAUGACGAUCCAUCAAUCGCAACAUAUUGAUGCACACCAUGCAUCUAUAAGGAAGGCAUCUACCUCAUAAGUAACACUGGUUUUGAAAGGCAAUGAGAACUAUUUUCUAAAGAAAAGUUUGAUGUAUAGUUAUGGCAGCAAUCGUACUGGACUCCCGCCGCCUGCUAGGCUCACUAUACCAAGAAUUCACUGAUACAAUCCUCUACUAGCCAUCUUUUUAUUAGGAAAGUGGCACACACCAGGGGGUAGCGCAUUGGAAUCUGCCGAACAGUUCGGGGCAAAUCCUGAUCCUGAAGAAAGCGUGAUCAGCAGAGGCUGAGUCCAGCCAUCUCCCAGUGAGAGGCUUGCAUUAUUUUCCUGUUGUUUUUUUAGCAAGUCUAAAACUGGCUCAUAAAGUUUACAAGCAUAUAGAAAAAUGAAUAUUUUAUGUUGUUCUUUUUUGGUUUUUUUUUUCAUUUUAAAAGCUGCUGGUAGGGAAUCCAUUUCACCCUUGACAUGAGUCAAACGGCACAUUUUCAUCAACCAAGUUUAUCACCUGUGAUAUGAGUCAAAACAAAUGCAGAUCAAAUGGAACUGGAGAUUGCUUCGCUGGCUGGACGUACUUCAUGCUCUAACAAUGCCUGUGCAGCGACCAAUCUCUUUGGUCCCUAAUGCACGAGAAAUAAGAAAAAGAUCAGCACAUAUUAACUUCACAAUAAGGAAAAUCGUGCCUGAAUAAUUGAAGUAGGGUCAUUCCAGCAAAUUCAGCAAUAUUAGGUAAAAUUGCAUUUGGAUAAGCGAAAAAGGCAUACAUGGAGAAGGAUAAAAGGAAGACAUAAGUAUUGAGCCCAUCUUGACGGACGGUUCAGAAUUACUCAGAUUUUGAAUAAUAAAGGUGGGACACUGACCAUGUUGAGGCAGGCUUCAUUUCUAACUGUGUCCAUCAUUGCUGUCCAAGGUAACCAUAUGUGACAAAAACUAACAAUAUCACUCACAAGUUACAGCAAUUCAGCUCAUCAUCUUCUAUGAGAAUAAUUCAUUCAUAUACUACUUGUACUGGGAUUAAAGAACGAAGCUGUUCAGAGUUUGCAUCCCAUUUUUCACUGAAGCUUCAUCUAUACCUAAUAUUAAAGGGAGGAAGAUUUUAUAGUUCUCCAUCCAUCACUCCUUCAUAUUCGUUAAUUUUAUGUUAACCACAUAGAUUGACGGCUGAGAUUUAAAAGAAUAAUCGUUGAUCGCAGUUCAGAAAUUUCAUCCCCACGUUAGUUCAUCCAUGCGCUUGGCUGUGUAUCCAGGUCGUAUACAACAAGAAAAGCUUGGUUGUGUCCGUGUCCAAGUCUCCAAGAUGGGGCUGCUGGAGGCUGUGACCGGGGAAGAUGAAAAGAAAGAUGAGGAGAUCAUCAUAGGGAUGGACGCGGGAAUCGAGCCACCACGAGGACAGUGUGGCACGAGGACGUGUCCAUGUGCUGCACUGGUGGAGAAGGAGGUGGAGAAGGAGGUGAAAGCGAGCUGGACUCAAGGUGACUCAUCCCGGCGAGCGUCUUACCGAGUGGGUCAUCGGGGUCGGUAAUGAGCAAGCGACCGAGCACCGCCGGCGGCGGCACGGCUAGGUUACCGUCGAGGCGACAAGGCGGCAUGCCAUCGCCUCUCCUGUCUCGCUACGAUGCAUCAGUUUGGGUCAUUACAACGGCAGCCUUGAGGGCGGCCCAUACCUUCCAGGGACGGGCCGACACUUGCCACACUAGGGAGCGAUCCCAUCCCGAUGUCACAAGUGCCGCCGCCGUCUGCCCCAACCCAAUCGCCGCCCAAAUCAAUCUCGGCCAGGCCCCACUGCUGAUGUGGCACCAUGGUACCCCCAGCACCGGUCCCCCGUUGCUCGAGUUCUUGUUGUGCCUCCCGCUUCUGCUGCCACUGCCCCUGGAUGUGUGACUAGGAUCCUCCAGCGCCAAACUUCACUUCACUGUCCGCACGCAGACGUCUGAGCUCCGCUGCUCACCUGCGCAGUCCCUGCACCUGCGGGUGUCGCCGCUCCCGGCCACCCUGGUGUGAUGUUGUGCAUGUGCGAGGCAGUGCUAGAAGCGUCGAUUGUGGUGGUACUGGUGGUGGAAAGCAUGCUCGUGGUAAUCAGGAUAGACAUGUUGUUGCCGCGCGCUCUCUCUCUCACUCACGACUAGAGGUAAAAGAAGGAGAAGCACAAUACACUAAAGUUUCAUCCGGCUGCACAUACAGCCCCCGCCCCCGUUACUAUUCCAAAAACACCAAACUCUGCUCAAUAAACACCCACUGGCAGCCGUGACUUUGUAGUCCGACAGCGACGCUACCCUCACGUUUCCUAGCUAGCUCUCCGCUGCAUGCAAACAAGCAAACCGGCCAUGCGCGCGACGCGGCCAGCUCCACCGGUCGCCGCUAACAGCCUGCUGACCAUCUAGCUAACUAACUCAUGCCGCUGACCAUCACGCCACACACAUACAACUACUACAAGUAGACACACUACACACGCGCGCACACACAUUUUGCCACGGCUUCCUCUGCGUCCCGCACGUCGCGCGCGCACUCGACACGCCCGAUGAGUCCGACACCAUUAAUGCGUCCCGCACGUCCCGCGCGUCCCGCGCGCACCCGACGCGCCCGGCGAGCCCGACACCACAGUGCGUCCUGCGCGAAUCCGUCGCGCCCGACGAGCCCGACCACACGCCUACACCGCGGUCCCGCCGCGCCUGACACGCCCGGCGCGCGCCCAUACACGCGCCCGACGCGCCCGACACUGGCGCCGCGGCUUAUUCCCCCCAACAUUGACCCCCUAAGCCGUGGCCUCGCCGCACGGCCUGCCGACAGGGGCCCUGACUCGUCGUCGUCGCCUUGUCGCCAUGUACGCCUCCGCUGCGUCUCCGGCACAAGCCGCCGCUCGCUGCCGCUGCCGCUGCAGCAGCCCGCAGUCCCGUGCGCCGCCACGCCGCGUCUUCGUGCCACGCGUCUCCACGGUUGUCGCACUGAGCCGUCGCGACCUCUGCGCCACCACGCAGGUCCUUCGCGACCUCUUCGUCUCCACGACCGCCGGGCCCUUCACGCACACGACAUCACACCACACAGCCAUGGACUCGCCGCGCAUUGCCGUCGCCAUGCGCUCGCCGCGCGCCGCAGCCGAUGCCUCCAUGUGGGCCGCGCGCCACGGCCGCCCCUUAAACCUUGUGGCUCUGAAUACCAAUUGUUGUUGCCGCUCUCACUCUCACCCAGGACUAGAGGUAGAAGAAGGAGGAGCACAAUACACUGAAGUUUCACCCGGCUGCACAUACAGCCCCGUUACUACUCCAAAAGCACCAAACUCUGCUCAAUAAACACACACUGACAGCCGUGACUUUGUAGUCCAACAGCGACGCAGCCCUCACGUUUCCUAGCUAGCUCUCCGCUGCAUGCAAACAAGCAAACCAGCCAUGCGCACCACGCGCGCUAUGUGCGCGACGCGGCCAGCUCCACCGGUCGCCGCUAACAGCCUGCUGACCAUCUAGCUAACUCGUGCCGCUGACCAUCACGCCACACACAUACAACUGCUACAAGAAGACACACUACACACGCAUGCACGCACAUUUUGCCACGGCUUCCUCUGCGUCCCGUACGUCCCGCGCGCACCCGACGUGCCUGACGAGCCCGACACCACCAAUACGUCCCGCACGUCCCGCGCGCACCCGACGCGCCCGACAAGCCCGACACAACCAGUGAGUACCGCACGUCCUGCGCGAAAUCCGUCGCACCCGACCAGCCCGACCACACACGCCUACACCGCGGUCCCGCCGCGCCUGACACGCCCAGUGCGCGCCCAUACACGCGCCCGACGCGUCCGACACUGACGCCGCGGCUUAUUCCAGCCAACAAGACAGGGUUUCUGUGUUAACACCGAUGGAGACGGCAAGGAAAGCAGGGAGAGGCGGGCGUGUCGGAGAAGGCGUCAGUUUCUGUCACAAGAUCGUUUCCCACCCCCAUUAACCGUGGCUGCUGAUGCUUUCCUCCGAGGAUAUCCAUCCAUGGCUCCCUUCUUUCUAACCUUUAUUCUCGAGUAUUACAAUUCGUGCCAUGCCCAACAAAACAUUGGUCCGUUGAUCUUUGUUUUAGAUAGCAGCGUCAUGUGGGUUAAUGAUUUUGGUGCAGAAUAAGUGAUGGCUGCCAGGCGUUGUGCUGUGUUUUACUCACUACAGUCUGCUCUACUACUUCCUCCGUCCCAUAAUAUAAGAACGUUUUUGACACUACACUAUUUAUGUGGCACAAUCUGCCGGGAAGGAAGCAGGAGAUGCCAUCGUAAAUUCGUAAUUAUGUUUGCACAUGACACUACUAGGAAAAGGCUAAUUAGUGGCGCACCUAUUUUGGGCAUUAAUGGCGCACUACAGGUGCGCCACUAGUAACUAGUACUAAUGGCGCACCUGGAAGUGCGUCAUUAGUAUGUCAAACGGUGCGCCAUUACUAUGCCUCCCAGGGGGUCAUAUUUACCUUGUGCUCUGGGUUACUAAUGGCGCACUUCUAGUUAAUGCGCCACUAGUAUGAAUAUUAGAAUUUUUCUUUUCUUUUCUGAUAUUUGCACAGGUUACAAAAUAUAUUACUGCACAAAUACAGACAACACAACAUAUAAACAGCAGAUUUAUCGAAUACAAUAGAAGAUUAGUCUCCGAAUACAAUUCAUCAUAUUAGUCUCCGAAUUCAAAAGACCGAACAAAGUUAGAACAUUACAAGUCUCGAGACCGCGAGUAGCGAGUUUGUCUUCACAUUACAAGUCGAUAUCGAUCAUCUAAACUACCAUCACAUAGAAGAGAGAUGCGGUCAUCACGAUGAGCAUCAUCGCGAUGAAACUGGUCUUCAUCCGGUUCCUCCUCCGCUCCCUCCUCUCUCCCGCUAGAUAGCGCGCGUAUCUAGCUUCCGCCUCCGCCCUAGUGGUGUACCCUUUGUAACUGUUACCGCUGAAACGGUGAACCUGUCUCCGACACACCUCCCAGUCGUCCUAGACUCCAGGAACCAUACCCUUGUACACGACAUACGACGGCAUCUCUAUGCGCUAGACAAACAAAACGUUAGUAGCAAUUCACAGACAAUACAUAAGUAAUAUAUAAGUAUGCAACAAAAGGAUCGAAAGAGAAAAGCAACACAUUAAUAGCACGAUUCAUGGUCCUACUAAUAAAUAGCAUCGAUUACAUAUAAGUUGAAUGACUGUCCAAACCAAAGAGACAUACAAGUUCAUUAAAGUUUAAUUACAACAUGAGCUAAUCGAUAUUUCAGAACUACAUAGCAUCACUACUUUCGACUCGACUCAGGGACCGGAGCAUGGAUGAAGCCACAGUCUUUCGUGAUGGUCAUGAAUGUGGGUUCGUUGUUAGCCUGCAUUUGUAGCGUUGUUUCUAUUUCACUGUUGGACGGUUGAUAUUUGAGGUAGAACUGCCCCGAGGUACGAAGGACAUCUUGAUGGAUAAUUUCUGCAAACUCCGACUGGAUGCGAAAUAAUUCUUGUCUGAGGUCCGCGUCCUGGAUUGCCGACAAGCGUGCGGCCCAAUCUUUGAGACUAUUUGGCAGCAGAAGGUGAUUAUGGCCCCUUCCAAUCGCCCGCAUGUGAUGGAGGGCGUAGUAGGCAUUCUUCUGACGACCAGGCGGCUGCUUGACGCAGGGGAACGUUGUUACGUGGGUGAACACGUGCUUGCCGUACCUAAAAAUUGGCCUCCUGAAGGUGCCUCCAGAUUUGGCGUAGCCGGGGAGAACAUCAUCAAGAACUUUUUCUUGAUAUUUGUGUAGUCUUUCUUCGACUAACGGUCCGAGUCGAAAUAUGUGGCCAUGGAAUAGUUCUGGCUUAAGAGGAUGAGUGUGCAAUGUGUGUCACUGCACAAAACACGGAAUGUUAGAAAAAAAAAGAACGGUCGAAAUCUAAGAAAUCAUAUGUUACGGGGCGGUGAGGGGAUGACAUACUCGGGAAAGUAAGGCACGAGGAAGUUAUCCUUAUCUGGGUUCGCCAGAAUGACGCCUUCGAGGUAUGAACUCACGAAUUGCCGGUCCCUAGCGCUGCCCAAGAUCUUGGCACGCAUGUAGAAGGGGUCGACUAUCACGAUGUCCGGGGUCUUGUCUCUAAUGAUCCGCAUCUCCAUACUCAGCAAAAAUAGCCGAACGAAGGUGUAGUGCAGCAGAUGAAGGUUAAACAUAGUAAAGAUGUCAUCAAACCGCAGGACGAUCAUACCCCCGAUGGUGCUAUCCACAAAACCCUUGCCCUCUAGCACCUUGGCCAGGAAAACCGGAUAUGCCACAUCAUUCUCGGAGAGACGCCGCUUCUCCAAAGAAAGAACACUGUCAUGCAGACUCCGCAUAGCACCGGUUGUAGCAUUGAGCAGAUUAGUCGGUAGCAUCGGCCUACCCGCCACAUGCACCCUCCUCGAGAUAUCCUUAGGUGAAGGUGGCCCGUCCUGAGCACGGAUCGUACUCGGUGCCGGCUGGCUCGCAGCCUUGUUAUUCUUUCUUUUCCAUCCCUUCUUCUUCUGCUGUAAUGGGAUCGAGUUUUGCUCAGAGACCGCCUUCUCGCGUGUGUUGGGGCUGAUAAUAUUUCGCACCUCGGCUAUCUGAGGCUCGGUGAAGGCGGCAGCUGGAGGCGUCUCCUAAGAACUGAACGCCAGACGACCCUGUUGCAAUUGGGUUUCUCCGCGGUACCAGCUAGAUCGCGAUCGUCUUUUGCAGGGUUGGGUUCUUGAGAAGGAGGCCCCAAGAAUUCGUCACCGUACCCAUGUUCGUUGAAGUACUUAUCGACGUUGGUAAAUGUACCAUCGUCGUUGUCGUCGUCGUCCGGAUCCUGUGCCAUAUGCAUGUCCGGAUCCUGUGCCAUAUGCAUGUCCGGCAUGUCCGGUAGCGUUGCGGCGGUCUUGCCAUGGCUUGGCGCCGGCACGACUGGCAGUGUUGUCUGUGGGGUGGUGUCCCCCGCCCCCAAACGAAUCUGGCUCUUCGGCCAAAGCAGGGGCCAGCUUAAGCAGGCGCUGAGGGUCAUCACAUCAUCUUCGUCGGCCCCAGGGGGUCGAAACAGAGGUAACAAGUCGUCGCAGCCCCGCAGCACCCGAACCAGUUGAACCCUAUACACGGUGGGUGGCAUCGGAUUACCGUGGAACACGCGGCUGCCCGGUUGAACGAUUCUGGCCUUGGCGACAUCGAUCAACUCGCCGUCCACGAAGUGCAGGAGAGUGCAUGGAACGUCGGCGGCGCCCUGCGGAAACAUGUAGGCCGUCAGGGAUGCCCAGUCAAAGGCAAGGAGAUGAAGUCACUACAAAAAAAAAA
rnacentral:lncRNA from 1 species